rnacentral:rRNA from 1 species
GACGAACGCUGGCGGCGUGCUUAACACAUGCAAGUCGAACGGAAAGGCCCUGCUUUUGUUGGGUGCUCGAGUGGCGAACGGGUGAGUAACACGUGAGUAACCUGCCCUUGACUUUGGGAUAACUUCAGGAAACUGGGGCUAAUACCGGAUAGGAGCUCCUGCUGCAUGGUGGGUGUUGGAAAGUUUCGGCGGUUGGGGAUGGACUCGCGGCUUAUCAGCUUGUUGGUGGGGUAGUGGCUUACCAAGGCUUUGACGGGUAGCCGGCCUGAGAGGGUGACCGGCCACAUUGGGACUGAGAGACGGCCCAGACUCCUACGGGAGGCAGCAGUGGGGAAUAUUGCACAAUGGGCGGAAGCCUGAUGCAGCAACGCCGCGUGCGGGAUGACGGCUUUCGGGUUGUAAACCGCUUUCGCCUGUGACGAAGCGUGAGUGACGGUAAUGGGUAAAGAAGCACCGGCUAACUACGUG